CCUACGGGAGGCAGCAGUGGGGAAUUUUGGACAAUGGGCGCAAGCCUGAUCCAGCAAUGCCGCGUGCAGGAUGAAGGCCUUCGGGUUGUAAACUGCUUUUGUACGGAACGAAACGGCUCUUUCUAAUAAAGAGAGCUAAUGACGGUACCGUAAGAAUAAGCACCGGCUAACUACGUGCCAGCAGCCGCGGUAAUACGUAGGGUGCGAGCGUUAAUCGGAAUUACUGGGCGUAAAGCGUGCGCAGGCGGUUAUAUAAGACAGAUGUGAAAUCCCCGGGCUCAACCUGGGACCUGCAUUUGUGACUGUAUAGCUAGAGUACGGUAGAGGGGGAUGGAAUUCCGCGUGUAGCAGUGAAAUGCGUAGAUAUGCGGAGGAACACCGAUGGCGAAGGCAAUCCCCUGGACCUGUACUGACGCUCAUGCACGAAAGCGUGGGGAGCAAACAGGAUUAGAUACCCUGGUAGUCCACGCCCUAAACGAUGUCAACUGGUUGUUGGGUCUUCACUGACUCAGUAACGAAGCUAACGCGUGAAGUUGACCGCCUGGGGAGUACGGCCGCGAAGGUUGAACUCGAAAGGAAUUGACGGCUGAGACGAGACGAGGACGACGACGAGGGAGGAGG
rnacentral:rRNA from 1 species